rnacentral:lncRNA from 1 species
AUGCCGGUAACCCUUUGCAGAGAGCUGCGGCUGCCCGCAGCCACGCCGUGUAGGGCCGUGCUCCAGCUCACAGCAGCCCUACAGAGGACAGGAGGGGGCUGUGACAGUGCCAGCAGCCCUGCUGCAUGCAGCACCCACCGCCUGGCCAUGAGCAGGGCAAACGGAGCUCCUGCCCUCAGCAUAGGCACAACGCAGCGCCUCUGCCCUCCCUGCUCCCUGCCUGUGCUUCCAUUCAAAGCCCCCCAGCGAUCUGUUACCCUUGUUGUUUCGGUUCAGAUUAGUCGGGCAAUACACAACCUGAAGGGACGUCUGAAGGUGCGGUAGAUGACUAAGAGAAAAGGUAAAAGAACAAACAAGCUAAAAGGCAGACUCGCGUUCAAAUAACAGAUUCUGCGGUUGCUUGAGAUAAACACGCGCUUCUGGGUGAGUCAUUAAGCUGAUGAGACUUUUCAACCAAACUCGGAAUUAUCAUUAUGCAGAAAGUUCAUCAAAUUAAAGCAGCAGCUUCGUUUCAGAAUAUAGAGAACUGUUGAUUCAUCUCCAAAAAAAGAAAAAGACUGAACUUAGAAACCUAACUUCUCAUGUGGAGAUGUUUUAACUGGACACAGAGGCUCCAGACCCGUGCUUUUCCACUCCAUCCAUUAACCCCAGCAAACCGACAAGAGACUCUCCAAAGCAGUUUUUGCCUAAGCACGGAGAGGAAAGAAAACCACCAAUUACUUCAUUAUGAAUCUCAUUACAAUAAUUUCAAUAUUUAUCAGCCAUAAGAGGUAUCUCUUACCUCUUAGCACUCGCUGUCUAAGAGCCAUAUAGUGACCCUGCCUGCACAUUAGGGCAUUUAAUAUUCUACAUUUACUGCAUUUAAGGGGUAGAGAACUGAGCCUUUCAGGUACCCUGACCUUAAUUUCUUUGUCAUCAGAAGGGCUUGAUUUCUGUUACAAUUUUUGCANNNNNNNNNNUGGCCUCCCAGCCCCACGGCCCAGCCAUGCAGAUGGUGAAAGUGUUUCCGAGUCCGGUGUGCUUAGCUGUCCUGAGAGGGGGUACCGAGCAUCCAAACCCCCCAGGGACAAGGGGCACGUUACAUUUGUAGGAACGGCGUGAGUGAUACUCCUCAGCCCUCGUUAUGGACCCGCUGCGCUUCCACACGGUGCUGGAAUAACGAGGCUGGAGGUUUCGCUGACAGGGUGCUUGGUUUGGCACCACUAUAACAUGGCUGGGCUCAGGCUUUAUCAGAAUUUCCUGACAAAUGUAUUUAUCCCUACUGAAGAGAAAGCUCCUGCUCUGGUGGAAAAGGCAUGCAAAGGAAACCAUGGUUACAGGAGUUGUCUGGUAUGUUAAAUAAUGUAGUAGAGAAUCAUUUUAAGCCUCUGAUCUCAUUAGGAUCACACUGCAGCGAAGGAUUAAAAUAGAGAUUAGAAACAGAGCAGAAGGAUACCCUGUCCCUCUGCAGGUGUAGGGCAGAAAGAUUCACACCACAUUGACUAGGUUAUGGAGCGGAUCUUACUUUACUAAUUAUUUGUACUGUACAUGCUCUCUUGCAGGCUUACAGUCUCACCGUGCUUUUGAAAUGUCAGCUGCUGAGGCAGAGCUGGAGCAGGCUGCAGUGCCUACCGCCACCGGGAGGAACGGGGCUAGUUCUGCCUGCUGCUGCCCUGUCCUGCCUCCCAUUUCUCAGGUUGCUACCAGAGGUCUGAGUCAAAUUAAAAGAACGAUAAAAACCAGAAAAUAAAACCAAGGUGGGAAAAACCAAAAUGCAGAAGGCGUUCCAGUGGUGCAGGCGACAGAAGGGUCUGAGGGACUUCAGCCCCAAGGGCUCACAGUGGGGUUGGGGCUCUCUGCCACAUUUCACAGCCCCGGUGUGGCAGCAAGA